rnacentral:rRNA from 1 species
ACAAGCGGUGGAGGAUGUGGUUCAAUUCGAAGCAACGCGAAGAACCUUACCUGGGUUUGACAUCUAGGGAACCUUCUGGAAACAGAGGGGUGCUCCGCAAGGAGAGCCCUAAGACAGGUGCUGCAUGGCUGUCGUCAGCUCGUGCCGUGAGGUGUUGGGUUAAGUCCCGCAACGAGCGCAACCCUUGUCACUAGUUGCCAUCAUUUGGUUGGGCACUCUAGUGAGACUGCCGGUGACAAACCGGAGGAAGGUGGGGGAUGACGUCAAGUCCUCAUGGCCCUUAUGGGUAGGGCUUCACACGUCAUACAAUGGUCGGUACAGAGGGUUGCCAAGCCGCGAGGUGGAGCCAAUCCCUUAAAGCCGAUCGUAGUCCGGAUCGUAGUCUGCAACUCGACUACGUGAAGUCGGAAUCGCUAGUAAUCGCAGAUCAGCAUGCUGUGGUGAAUACGUUCCCGGGUCUU